CUUGUACCAGUGGGGUCCCUCGGCCUGGCCUGCGGGAUUGGGCCAAAACCAGAUUGUGAAAAGGUGCAGGCCAGGUCGAGGGACCCCACUGGUGCACA
rfam:Myotis brandtii contig277267, whole genome shotgun sequence.